rnacentral:rRNA from 1 species
CAUGGCGUACAGGUGAGUAAUAUACAAGAAUCUACCUUAAAGUUUGAAAUAAUCAUAUUUUUUUUAAGAAUGCUCUGCAGUGAUAACUUCAAUAAAAGUAAAAUACUGCUUUAAGAUGAGCUUGUAUAGGAUUAAGUUGUUGGUAAGGUAAUGGCUUACCAAGCUGAUGAUCCUUAGCUGGUCUGAGAGGACGAUCAGCCACACUGGGACUGAGAUAAGGCCCAGGCUUUUAGCCAGCAGUGAGGAAUUUUGGACAAUGCGCGAAAGCGUGAUCCAGUAAUACUGCGUGAAUGAGGAAAGCAAAAAAGGUUUAUAAGCUUUUUAAGUUUAUAGAUCGGUUGUAAAAUUCUUUCGCUAAGUAGGAUUGUGACUUUAUUUAGAGAAGAAGCCCCGGCUAAUUUCGUGCCAGCAGCCGCGGUAAUACGAAAGGGGCGAGCGUUAUCCGGAAUGAUUGGGCGUAAAGAGUUCGUAGGCGGUAUUUGUUGUUACAUGUUAAAUCCUAGGUUUAUACUUAGGUCUGCGUGUAAUACUCUUUUACUUGAGUAUAGUAGAGGAUAACAGAAUUUCAUACAUAGGGGUAAAAUCCAAUUAUUUAUGAAGGAAUGCCAGUGGCGAAAGCGGUUAUCUGGACUAUUUACUGACGCUGAGGAACGAAAGCAUAGGGAGCAAACAGGAUUAGAUACCCUGGUAGUCUAUGCUGUCAAAGAUGAGUGCUAAUAUUGGGAGUUUUUUCUGAUGUAAAG